UACGGGGGGAGCAAGCGUUGUUCGGAUUUACUGGGCGUAAAGGGCGCGUAGGCGGUAGCACAAGUCAGUUGUGAAAUCUCCGGGCUUAACUCGGAAAGGUCAACUGAUACUGUGCGACUAGAGUGCAGAAGGGGCAACUGGAAUUCUCGGUGUAGCGGUGAAAUGCGUAGAUAUCGAGAGGAACACCUGCGGCGAAGGCGGGUUGCUGGGCUGACACUGACGCUGAGGUGCGAAAGCCAGGGGAGCGAACGGG
rnacentral:rRNA from 1 species